UACGGGGGGGGCAAGCGUUGUUCGGAAUUACUGGGCGUAAAGGGCUUGUAGGUGGCCAACUAAGUCAGACGUGAAAUCCCUCAGCUUAACUGGGGAACUGCGUCUGAUACUGGAUGGCUUGGAUUCGGGAGAGGAAUGCGGAAUUCCAGGUGUAGCGGUGAAAUGCGUAGAUAUCUGGAGGAACACCGGUGGCGAAGGCGGCAUUCUGGGGUGCCUGUGACGCUGAGGCGCGAAAGCCAGGGGAUCAAACGGG
rnacentral:rRNA from 1 species